CGCCCAUCCAGAGCGAUCGAGAGACCCGGCUCGACGACAUCGCAGCAACCCCCCGCCUGGGGUGUGGGUGCUACCGCCGGGACCGAUGGAGG
rnacentral:ncRNA from 2 species